AAGUCGUAACAAGGUUUCCGUAGGUGAACCUGCGGAAGGAUCAUUACAAAUCCAAGCAUACUACAAGUUGCAAUGUGUGGGUGAAAUAGAGUUAUCUCUAUUUCCCCAAUCUUUAUACUUUGUUGUUCAGAUGUAUUUUAAACAAAUAGAAUCACAACUUAUAACAAUGGAUCUCUAGGCUCUU
rnacentral:misc_RNA from 1 species